rnacentral:rRNA from 1 species
CCCUUAGAUAUCCUGGGCUGCACGCGCGCUACACUGAUGUGUCCAGUAAGCACCUAACCUAUUCCGAGAGGAGCGGGUAACCUUAGCAAAGCACAUCGUGAUGGGGAUAGAUUAUUGCAAUUAUUAGUCUUGAACGAGGAAUUCCUAGUAAGCACAAGUCAUCAGCUUGUGUUGAUUACGUCCCUGCCCUUUGUACACACCGCCCGUCGCUCCUACCGAUUGAAUGUUCCGGUGAGCUCUUCGGACUGCGCGGUCUGCAGUUUCUGCGUUCCGUGCGGAAAGUUGUGCAAACCUUAACAUUUAGAGGAAGGAGAAGUCGUAACA